UCUACUAUAGCCUAGCAGUUACACUCCCCUCACUAUAAAUAUAAUAUAUUUAUUUAGAUUAAGAAGUAAAGUUUUAAAAAUUAGCAUUUGUAGUGGUUGGUGAGUCUUAGGUGGAUUUAAGGAAAUUUUUGGGAAUUGGCAAGGAUAGUUUACUUUGGGGCAAAUAAAAUAAAAUAAAUAGAUUUGGUUGGAUUUGAGGUUGAAUAAAGAAGAUCUUAUUUUAUUUGGUUGGAGAAACAAAAAGGGAAAAGUGGAAUUAAUGGACUAAGGAGGG
rnacentral:misc_RNA from 1 species